UGCUCGGCUACCCUUAACGUGUGGUGUUUCAACUCGCGUAAUUGAAACGGUUAUAAAUUAUUUUUCAAGGAUCCAAUUAAUGGUGAAAUUGUCGAAUGGAGGAAAAGUAGGAAAAGUGUUUGUUGGAAUUAAAGUCGAUAGUUGAACGAAUUUCAUUCAAUACCAGUAUUGUUUCAUUCCUCAUAUUGAGUCAUUCCGUGAAUCAUUAGUAGAGUCAGUGAAAAAUUGAAGGAAAAUAAUUGCAUCACGUGUGUGAGAGUAAUUCAAAAGUGACCAAACAACGAUCAAGUUGCCUGUUUUUUUUUAGUUUUAAGUUUCUGUGCAAAUUGCAGUCGGUGCGCGUGUGUCGUGAUAGUGUCAGGUGUGAACUGAGGCGGGAUAAAUCUGGAUUCUCGAAACUCCAUCGAUCAUUGGAAUUGAUACCCAGGAGCAGUCAGGAUUAUCAUUUUCUCAGUUUUGUUUGUUUAUGUUCUGUGUUGUAACGGAGUUUGCUAGUGGAAGUGUGCAUACGUCCCUGGCCUGGAGUCAUUGCGGUGCCUCUGGACGAGGCAGGAGGACCGCCUUGUACGGCAAAAAUCGAGUAUAAAGCUGCACUCCUCUUGAAUUGUACCCAGUAGAUGUAUCAGUCGUCAGUGUGUGUAUCACCAUGCAGGAAUAAGAGAAGGGAAACGUUCGGUAACCGCACAUUACUCGGCUGGGUAAAUUCCGUACUUACAUGCGCACCACCCCUGCUGCCACGAGUGUCUGUGAAAAUUCUCUUCUUCGUGGAACUGAUGGAGUGGAGGAUCGCAGCAAAUAGGAGAAACGGAGGUUUCCAGGCUUGAGU